AUUGAACGCUGGCGGCAGGCCUAACACAUGCAAGUCGAACGGCAGCACAGAAGAGCUUGCUCUUUGGGUGGCGAGUGGCGGACGGGUGAGUAAUGUCUGGGAAACUGCCCGAUGGAGGGGGAUAACUACUGGAAACGGUAGCUAAUACCGCAUAACGUCGCAAGACCAAAGUGGGGGACCUUCGGGCCUCACACCCUCGGAUGGGCCCAGAUGGGAUUAGCUAGUAGGUGGGGUAAUGGCUCACCUAGGCGACGAUCCCUAGCUGGUCUGAGAGGAUGACCAGCCACACUGGAACUGAGACACGGUCCAGACUCCUACGGGAGGCAGCAGUGGGGAAUAUUGCACAAUGGGCGCAAGCCUGAUGCAGCCAUGCCGCGUGUAUGGAGAAGGCCUUCGGGUUGUAAAGUACUUUCAGCGGGGAGGAAGGCGGUGAGGUUAAUAACCUCGCCGAUUGACGUUACCCGCAGAAGAAGCACCGGCUAACUCCGUGCCAGCAGCCGCCGUAA
rnacentral:rRNA from 1 species